UACGUAGGGCGCAAGCGUUGUCCGGAAUUAUUGGGCGUAAAGAGCUCGUAGGCGGUCUGUCGCGUCCGUCGUGAAAGCCCGGGGCUUAACUCCGGGUCUGCGGUGGAUACGGGCAGACUAGAGGCAGGUAGGGGAGAACGGAAUUCCCGGUGUAGCGGUGAAAUGCGCAGAUAUCGGGAGGAACACCGGUGGCGAAGGCGGCAUCCUGGACCGACACUGACGCUGAGGAGCGAAAGCCAGGGGAGCAAACGGG
rnacentral:rRNA from 1 species